CUUGCAUACGAUGUCUAUAUAAACAUAAUAUCACUGACUGCCUAUGGGACGUCAAAAAGUCCUUGGGAGUCUUGUUUCUCAUAAAGUGUCAAAUCGCCUGCCUUUUCAGAUGAAGAUGGACUUUGUUGGUGGGACUAGCCAUGUGUACUCAAACAUUUAACCUAAAUCUGGAACAACAAAAAACACAUUUAAGAUAUUUACGGCUCAUACGAUAAGCUAAG